AGUGGAUCGAGAUUUGAGAACUAC
rnacentral:siRNA from 1 species